AUGCCACUCGGCUCGAUCAAGAGAAUUAUCAUCCACAGAAACUGCAAAUCGGACGAUCCGCCACGUCGGGAUCGAGACGAUGACGAUUUCUCCUUGGUAACCGUGACGAGCGCUUCCCUACGGGAGAGUACCGGCAGUACCUUUACUGGAUCCGUCUAUGCGAAUUGGGAGGAAAAAUUCGCGUCUCGUGCGCUACAGAGACGAGGUCGCGUCUUCAGCUAUCGAAGGCGAAAGACUCGUAUUAGUGAUGGAAUCUUCGCUGCACCGGCCGGCGUCUGUCCGCAUCGUGUCACUUCGUCGAUCAUCCGUCGGAACUCAGGCGAUUCCCGACUCGUGUUCGUUUGGCCGCAAAAAGCUAGUAGAGGUCGACUCUCAAAUAUUCUCGCGCCUCUUCUACGCGGUAUCCUGAUUGGACUAUUGUUCGUAGAUGCUCUUCACCUUUGGCCUGGAGAGUUUUUACCCACAUCUCUACCAUCAAAUAUACCACUUACCCUACCACCUGUCAAAUGUAACGUUAUCGAGCCACUUUGGUUUGAUAAUAAUUGAAUCACCCCUCUUCACGUUUAUGUAAACGUGUGCUUGUAAUAUCGAUUUCAAAAUACAUGUGAUUUUUAAUAAACG